rnacentral:rRNA from 1 species
GACGAACGCUGGCGGCGUGCUUAACACAUGCAAGUCGAACGGAAAGGCCCUGCUUUUGUGGGGUGCUCGAGUGGCGAACGGGUGAGUAACACGUGAGUAACCUGCCCUUGACUUUGGGAUAACUUCAGGAAACUGGGGCUAAUACCGGAUAGGAGCUCCUGCUGCAUGGUGGGGGUUGGAAAGUUUCGGCGGUUGGGGAUGGACUCGCGGCUUAUCAGCUUGUUGGUGGGGUAGUGGCUUACCAAGGCUUUGACGGGUAGCCGGCCUGAGAGGGUGACCGGCCACAUUGGGACUGAGAUACGGACCAGACUCGUACGGGAGGCAGCAGUGGGGAGUAUUGCACAAUGGGCGGAAGCCUGAUGCAGAAACGCCGCGUGCGGGAUGACGGCCUUCGGGUUGUAAACCGCUUUCGCCUGUGACGAAGCGUGAGUGACGGUAAUGAGUAAAGAAGCACCGGCUAACUACGUG